rnacentral:rRNA from 1 species
CCUACGGGAGGCAGCAGUGAGGAAUAUUGGUCAAUGGUCGAGAGCCUGAACCAGCCAAGUCGCGUGAGGGAAGACGGUCCUACGGAUUGUACACCUCUUUUGUCAGGGAACAAGGAGCGCCACGAGUCGUCCGGCGAGAGUACCUGAAGAAAAAGCAUCGGCUAACUCCGUGCCAGCAGCCGCGGUAAUACGGAGGAUGCGAGCGUUAUUCGGAUUUAUUGGGUUUAAAGGGUGCGCAGGCGGAGGCGGCAAUUCAGCGGUAAAAUUGCGGGGCUCAACCUCGCCGAGCCGGUGAAACUGCUCUUCUAGAGGGGGCGAGCAGAAUGCGGAAUGCGUGGUGUAGCGGUGAAAU